UACGUAAGUGGCGAGCGUUAUCCGGAAUUACUGGGCGUAAAGCGUGCGCAGGCGGUUCGUUGUGUCGGUGGUGAAAGCCCCGGGCUUAACCUGGGAAUGGCCAUGGAAACUGGCGAACUGGAGUGUGGCAGAGGGGGGUGGAAUUCCGCGUGUAGCAGUGAAAUGCGUAGAGAUGCGGAGGAACACCGAUGGCGAAGGCAGCCCCCUGGGCUAGCACUGACGCUCAGGCACGAAAGCGUGGGGAGCAAACAGG
rnacentral:rRNA from 1 species